GCCAGUCAGUGGAGUGCAUGAACCUAUUUAAUGUAAACAUGAUAUGAGAAGCUACCAAGCUAGCGGAUGGUGUACCCGGAUUAUUUUUCCGAUUUGCCUUUGGAAAUGCAACUUGCAAAGACAAAAGUGAAGCUAUAGUAGAAUUUGAUAAUUGCCGCUCAAGUUUAGCUUGCGGCAAAUCGGCCUGUGCAAGUAUAGCACCAUAAGCAAGACCAUGCAUGGUGGAGCAUUUGACAUUAAAUGGAAAUCGUAAUUCUGCGUCUUCUUUUGCGGCCUUGUUAAAAGCAACAUAUAAAAUUUUAUCUUUUGGACGAGACUUGGCAAAUUCCAAUAAUGCUUUGGUUU